CCUACGGGUGGCUGCAGUGAGGAAUAUUGGUCAAUGGGCGAGAGCCUGAACCAGCCAAGUCGCGUGAAGGAUGAAGGAUCUAUGGUUUGUAAACUUCUUUUAUAUGGGAAUAAAGUGAGGAACGUGUUCCUUUGUAUGUACCAUAUGAAUAAGCAUCGGCUAACUCCGUGCCAGCAGCCGCGGUAAUACGGAGGAUGCGAGCGUUAUCCGGAUUUAUUGGGUUUAAAGGGUGCGUAGGUGGUUAAUUAAGUCAGCGGUGAAAGUUUGUGGCUCAACCAUAAAAUUGCCGUUGAAACUGGUUGACUUGAGUAUAUUUGAGGUAGGCGGAAUGCGUGGUGUAGCGGUGAAAUGCAUAGAUAUCACGCAGAACUCCGAUUGCGAAGGCAGCUUACUAAACUAUAACUGACACUGAAGCACGAAAGCGUGGGUAGCAAACAGGAUUAGAUACCCGAGUAGUC
rnacentral:rRNA from 1 species